rnacentral:lncRNA from 1 species
AAUGGAUUGUUGUGACAAAUUAUUGAUCUGGCACUACCAUGGAGUUUUCUACAGCACUAAUUCAUGGGAAAUAAAAAGCUGAUGAAGUCUUUAGGCCACUUGUACCUACUUUCACUGCAUUAUUUUUCAUAUACAUUCUUUUAGGGGAAAUGAGAAUGGGGGUGAGAGUGGGGAUGCUAAUUGGUAUAUCAAUGAAGUUUAUCACUGUUUGCUAAAGGAUACUUUCUUGUAUUCAGGUGAUGUGUCCCAACCAGGUAAUGGGUAUGCAAUCAGGGAGCUAGUCUCUAGGAUCCAAACACAUAAAUUCAAUUUAGCCUCCUGGUGAGAUUUUGGCUUUGCUUUAUGAUUUUUACUUCAUCGUUUCAUAUAAUAGUUCACACAUAUUUGACUUAUUUCUAAGGCAUAUCUCCAAGUAUAUUUACUUGCAUCUAGUUGAUGUCAGCAGAAUUUUAGAACUCAUCUGAGUUUCAAAAAUGUAUUAGUUCUAACUGUGUCUGACCAUAUACAAUAAAUAAUGAGAUAGCAUAGUAGGGAAUUCUUGGAAAAGUGAAGUAUACUUUAGAUAUACUUAUUAUUAUUGUCAUCAAAUGUCUGAAAAUAUUUGAUUUUUUUGCUUUUUGUUUAUAGCUCCUGAGAAAGGGAAAUGAGUGCCAAUAGUAAAAUCACCACAUAUUUGCAGAACCUGAGGUCUCUCAAUUGGGAAGGUGGGCAACACCUGACUUCAGUUCCCUUUCUAUACAUAACUGUUAAUUAAAUUUUAAUUUUAAUACUUGAAAAUGCAGCAUGAUAAGAAGUUAUUGACCUUUCUUGGGAAGUAGAUUGAAAAUGUAGGGAUCAUUUGUAUGUUUUUUGCUGCUACUUUCCCUUUUUUUCUUAGGUUACUCAGGUCUCUCAUAUUUUCCUAUGUAAUGUAAUUGCAUAAGUUCAGGAAGAGUCAUGUCUAAAAUGUAACCACAAGAAUAUUUUAGUGAUGGCAGGUUCAGAUACUCAGGCAUGCCUCUUUCACCUAAGCACUGCUUGGGACCCUUGUGUCAAGAGGUUGAGGAGGAUUGCAAUCAUGUUCUAUAUUUAUGUCAAUUUUCUUGCAGUCCUGGUGCAAGUUACUUUCUCCGAUGAUGCUAUUUUGGUCUCAUCCCCUUUGCAUCAGAUUCCUGUUGCAAUGCGUUUGAGCCUUUUCUGGAUUACUCUGGUGGUUUACUUCCUAUUCUGCUGCUUCUCCAUGGCUAGUAAGAUAUGAGGCUGGCUUUAAUGAGAAACGGAGGUGGGUGGACGAGAUUAUUUUUCGUUGUAAGCUUUGUUCUCUGCAUUGGCGUAGAGCUUUGGCUGAUGGCAUCUUGUUCUCGGACUAGGAUUCUGUGGCUUGCUCCCCUUCCUUCCAGUAACAUCUCCGUGGACCUGCUGGCUGCGGUUGAGUGUUAAGAGAUUCCUCUGGCUCUAUUCUAGCUUUGUUUUCUGGCCAAAUUGGUGUGCUAGACCAAUGUUGUUGAAAUAUAAUACUAUAUUUGCUUUGGAAAUAUUCUCUAGGACAUAUUGGAAAGAGAAAAAGGUGCUGGUGGUUGAAUCAGAUUCAACCGUAGUUGUGCCUUGGGUGAAGAAGAUUGAGGAUUGCCCUGGGAAUUUGUGUGUUACCUUCAAUUAGAUUGAUCCACUUACUGCUGACAUUGGUGAAGCCUUCUUUGGUACCAUCUGUUGGGAAGUUAAUGGCCUUGCUGACUCUAUAGUGUGUAGAACUGGCAUGUUCAUGGCUUGGUGGUUCAGCAGGCUGUUAUUUUAUCUCCACCCUUUGGGCGCCAUUCUACCAGGCCUGUUAUUAGAGGUUUUAUGGUGUGCAUAUUUUUACGCCUUUGGGUGUUAUUUUAGUCCAGGGAGAUUGCUUGUUAUCUGUUCAUCAACCCAAUAUAUAAGAACCAACUCAAGCCGCCACAAGAAUAGUCAAGCAGUACAUCACAAGAGUCCAUAACUUUACCAGUAAGUUUUUAUAUUUUACACAUUGAUUGCAUGCUUCAUUCGUUAAGAACGAAAGAAACCAAAUGCUACCACAAGAAAGCACCUGGAGAAGCUUGUGUUUGGUUUGCUUGGGAUUAGCUGAUGGAUCCGAAUUAAAGUUAACAGAAAUAAUUUAGAAACUUUCUUCUUUCCCUUUGUAGAAACAUACAUUGGGAGAUGAAAUUGAAUCUAUAUAAGAAUAAAGCUAAUUAAGAGCCUAAGACAACCUUUCCACUCUGCAUCCCUCCUUCCCAACCCAACAACAAAUAGCAAAACUUGCAUGUUGUCAGCCAUAAGAUUAAAGCCUAGAAUUUUCUUCUUUUUUUUUUUGCUAAGCAAAAAUUUUCACUAUUGAAAAUUUAAAGUGUUAAUAAAUAUUAAAAUAUUGAUAAAAUUAUAUUUGAUUAAAUAUAAAUGAUAAUUAUGAACAAAAAUCUAUUAAUUACUCACUUGACUUUACAAAAAAUAAAUACCAAUAAACUCGUUGUUCAUUACUUCUAUACCAUAUGUGAAUAGUCGUCAAAUAGUUGAAUUAAGAUAAAGUAGCAUUAUUCGUUAAAAUUUUUCUCCAUCUCUCUCAUUUUUAUCUCUCUUCAUUUAACUUUUAUGUAUUUAUAUUAAUUUUUUUUAUUUUUAUAUAAAAUCGAGGUUCCAUGGUUUUUAAAACAAAAAGUUAAAAAAAAUCAUGAAAAAUUAUUUUGAAUAUAAAAAAGCAAUAGUAUUAGCUGUUAAAAAAAAAAAGAACAUAAUAUUAAAAUAUUCACAAAAAUAUAAUCCAAUGAAAGGAGACAAAAAGAGUAUGGUAGUCAUAGAUAUCCCUUGUACUCAUCAUCAUCUACAUUAAACAAUUGUACCUUUUAGAAGAAGGUUUUGAUGGUUUAAGAAGUUGAAAAGAGGAGUGAAUAAAAUAGUAUACAAAGAAAUUAAAAAAUUGUCUUAUGUUUGAUUAGAGUCUGUUUAUUGAAAUUAAUAAAUUAUUAUAAUAAUUAAAUAAAUAUGUUAUAUAUAAAAUAAUAAUUUGCCUAAAAAAAAAAAAGAGGACCAACUACUAAAUCAAGUAACAUUUUGUUUUUGUGGUAGUAUUUUGAAGCACAAAAUUGAAGAGGACCAAUAAUUAAAUAAACUUUGAUUGAUUUAUCUGAUAAUAAUGAAAUCUGUGAAUGCAAAAGGCUGAAAUUAAGUAAGGAAAUGCUUCAUUUGAAGGAGAGAGUAAGGAACGCAAAAAGCAAGUAAAACCCAACUCAAUUAUUAAGCUACCCUCACGUACUUCUUUAAGUUUCACACAGCAAAAAUACAUCUCUUUUCCACAUACGCACUUCAAUCUCCAAUCUCCAUUUUUCAUUUCUCUCUUUCUUUCUUGAGCGAAAGGGGAGACUGCUCUCACAGCUUUCUUUGAUGGGCUGUUUGGCAAAUUAUCCUCUCCUGAUUUCCUCAACUUUGUCACCGGAAAGCAGGAGUGCUUUUUAAAUAAUAUCAUGCAUAAUUUUGUUGAUUGUAUAAUUUCAUAUCGGGUUAGAAAAUUUACAAUUUGAAUUAAAUAAGAAUUCGUAAUCGACACAUUGUGUCCAGUACUUUUAUGUGCUUGUUUAUAGAUUACAACUAGGUAGUCAAAUCAUUAAAAUUAACAUUUAUUAAAUGAAGAUAAAAAAAAUAAAUAAGGAUCAUUCAGCCUAACGGAUAUACCUGUUUCAGCUGAGCAUUUCAUGCAUGAAUACUUUUCAUUUUUUAAUGAAAGUAGUAAUACAAUAUUUACAUUGCUCUACAAUUGUUACAUAAAUAAACCAAUAUUUUCAUUGGCAGAAAUAUUACAUUUGGUUAUUUUUCUACAUUUCUAUUUCUUAAUUCUUUUCUUGGAUUAUUAUUCAUUGCAUAGGCAGUAUAUAUAUAUAUAUAUAUUUAAAAUGAAAAUAAUGAACUAUUUAAUUAUUAAAUAAAUAUGUAAAAAUUUUAAACUCACUUGUAGAAUUUAAAAAAAAUUCACUAUCACUUUACAAAAUGAUAAUCUAUUUUUUCAUAAAACCAAACAAACUCAUCACUUUAAUUUUUUCAUUCUCUUUUUUUUUUUUUGCUAUAUUGUUAUACUUGUAGGUUUACUCACAUUUUUCAAGUACUUAAAUUUAUUUAUCAUAUGAAUAAUUUUAAAACAUUUUUUAUUAGAAAAUAAAUAUAGCUAGGGUUUGGGAAAGUAAGAGGCAAGCAGCAUGGUUUAGGAAAGAUAGCAACCAAAAGAAAUAUUAUCGGGUUUAGGGUAUCCUAUGGGUGAUACUCGAAAUCUACUCAAACCCGAAUUGAGUAUUAAAAACCUUAUUCAAAGUUGCUUUAUUACCGAAUAGAGGGUAUCCAAAUCUUUUGUUAUCAAGUCAGAUACUUAUGGAUACUAUAUAAUAGUUACCUGCUACAUCCCUAAGUUAGACUUCACAGUUGCUUUAGGAAACUAUUUGUUGUAUGUGCUUGUACCAAAAGGAAUAAACAAGCUAUUUUACUAUAAAUAACAGUAGGACCACCAUAGCAAAAUAGAAAAUUAAAAAAAAGGAGAAUUGCAAGUAAAUAAAAAAAUUUCCACACACUAACUUUAAAGUUUUAAAAUUAUAUAAACAAAUUAAAAAAUUUUCUUAUGUUUGACUAGAGUAUGUUUAUUGAAAUUAAUAGAUUCUUAUAAUAAUGAAAUAAAAUAUGUGAUAUAUAAAAUGAAAAUUUGCAAAAAAAAGAGGACCUACGAUUAAAUCAAAAUUUGAACCAAAAUGAACCCACCACCACUAGCUUUGGUUAGUGCCCGGUUGACCUUUAUUUUCCGCCACAGUGUAAAUUUUUGGGAAAAAGGCUUACCUUUCGGGUUCUUUUUGGUAACAAGAAGCCUUAACUUUCUUUCCCUUUUGUCUUCUAUUAAUCUAAUUAGAAUCUUUUUUAUUGUACCAAAAAUUCUUCUUUUCACCUUUCCUUUUGCUUUCUCCAAGACCGUGUGGGUUCCAUCCACAAAGAAGAAUUAAUUAACCAAGUACAGAAAGAUAAAAAAGAAAGAAUUUAAAGAGUUAAAUUGAAGAGGACCAAUAAUUAAAUAAAGUUUGAUUGAUUUCUUUGAUAAUAAUGAAAUCUGUUAAUGCCAAAAGGUUGAAAUUAAGUAAGGAAAUGCUUCAUUUGAAGGAGAGAGUAAGGAAAGAAGAAGCAAGGAAAGCCCUGGAAAGAUGUAACAAAAUUAAGAGAGCAAUGAAUGAAGGGAUUAAUGAAUACUUAAAUACUCACCUAAUGAUUUGUGAAUUUGUCUAAUAAAUUUUUAAUUGUUUCCAAAAGGACAGGAAUAGUUGUGGUCAAAUUAUUGGAACACGUAGCCUUGCUCUUUCUUCAACUUGGUUUUGCCUUUAUUCACGGGAGAAACAAAUCCAUUUCGCCCAUGCAUGCAGAACAAGAAUAUGAUUCAAAACACUAACAUGGCUAUACUGACCCACACUACCCGAAAUGGUCCAAUUCCCCAAAAGAAGAAGAAUCUUUUAGAGUUCGAUGACUGCUUUAUUGAAAGUGGGAAUUUGCUUUCGGUGACUCACGGCCAGUUUCUUCCUUGUCUUUUUCCAUCGGUACCGCUGGCUCCAACAAACCACAUGGGGUCAUUCUUCGAAAGAGAAGUCGACGACUCCAAGUCAAUACCCACCUCAAUAAGCUGUUUGGUAAAAAGAACAAGAAUCUUGUAAAGCUCGAUUACUGCUUGAUUGAAAGUAGAAUUUGCUUUGGGUGACUCAUUGCUAGUUUUUUCCUUGUCUUUUUCCAUCACUACCAGUGGCCUCUAAGAAACUACAUGGGGUCUUUCUUCGAAUGAGAAUUCGACGACUCCAAGUCAAUACCUUACUCAAUUGUUAAGCUACCCUCACAAACUCCUUUAACUUUCACACAGCAAAAUACAUCUCUUUUCCACAUACGCACUUCAAUCUCCAUUUUUGAUUUCUCUCUUUCUUUCCUGAGCAAAACAAUCAUGUCUGUUGUUGGGGAGGCCGCUCUCACAGCUUUCUUUGAUGGGUUGUUUGGCAAGUUAUCCUCUUCUGAUUUCCUCAACUUUGUCACUGAAAAGCAGAUCCGCAAGGAGCUCAACGAGUGGGAAAAGAUGCUGCGGGAUAUCCGUGCCGUGCUUGAUGAUGCAGAGGGGAAGCAGAUGAAGGAUCAGUAUGUGAAGAACUGGUUGGCCGAUCUUCAAGACUUGGCUUACGAUGUCGAUGACAUUUUGGACGAGUUUGCCACUGAAGCUUUGAGGCGCAAGCUGACAUCCUUUGAGGAAGGCAUCAAAAAUAAGGUACAAAAGAUCAUUCCUACUCGUUUCUCUCCAAAAACUUUCAUGUUUAAUAAGAAGAUGGUGUCCAAGAUUAAAGAGAUCAGUGCUAGAAUAAAUGAUUUGGCCACAAAAAGAACUCAAUUGGAAUUGCGAGGCAUUAAUGAGGGAUCAAGGUCCGAUAGAAUGAUACAAAGGCUUCAGCCUACUUCUUUGGUGGAUGAAACUCAGGUGUACGGUAGGCAAGAAGAAAAGGCAGCAUUACUUGAAUUGCUUUUGAGCAAUGAUGGCACUGACAAUGAAGCUUCUGUGAUUCCCAUCAUUGGCAUGGGAGGAAUUGGCAAGACAACUCUUGCACAACUUCUCUACAAUGAUACUCGUAUAGAGAAUUCUUUCGAGUACAAGGCAUGGGUAUGCGUUUCUGAAGAUUUUGAUGCCGUUGGCAUAACAAAGAGAAUUCUACGGUCAAUCACUCCUGGUUGUUGUACCGAUGACAAUGAUCUCAAUUUACUUCAAGUCGAGUUGAAGAAGAUGCUGGCCGGGAAAAAGCUUUUGCUUGUCCUGGAUGACAUCUGGAACGAUAAUUAUCUGGAGCUGACCAACCUACUCUCUCCAUUUGGAGUUGGAACCAAAAUUCUCGUCACAACACGGAGUCACGAUGUUUCUUCUAUUAUGGGCACUGUUGAAGCUUACCCACUACAACAGUUAUCAGAGGAGGAUUGUCUAUCUGUAUUUUCUCAGCAUGCAUUAAGAGCAAAUGAUUUUAGUGGGCAUCCUGAAUUAAAAGAAGUUGGGGAAAUUAUAGUGAAAAAGUGCAACGGCUUACCUUUGGCAGCUAAAGCCAUCGGUGGUUUACUACGCACUAGACUGGACUAUGAGGCAUGGAAAGGUAUAUCAGAAAGCGAGAUAUGGGGCAUACCAGAAGAGAAAUGUAGCAUAAUUCCUGCUUUACGAUUGAGCUAUCAUCAUCUUCCUUCACAUUUGAAACGAUGCUUCGGAUAUUGCUCUAUACUCCAUAAGGAUUAUGAAUUCGGGGAGGAGGAGAUAAUCUUGUUAUGGAAAGCAGAAGGUUUUCUACAACCAGCAAGCCCUGGAACUCAACUCGAAGUUCUAGGUAGUCAAUAUUUUCGAGAUCUAGUAUCAAGGUCAUUUUUUCAAACAUCUACUAGGAACAAGUCUCGAUUUGUAAUGCAUGAUCUUGUCAAUGAUCUGGCUCAAGCGGUUGCAAGGGAAAUAUGCUCCAAAUUGGAGAAUGAUAAACAGUUGAGAUUUUCGGAAGGUACUCGACAUUCAUCUUAUGUUUGUGGUGAGUUUGAUGGAAUGAAAAAGUUUGAAGCCUUCAAUCGAACAAAGCAUUUACGAACCUUUCUACCGUUGUCUGGAUCGUCGUGGGCAUGCGAAGGUAAUUGUUAUCUAAGUAACAAUGUUCUCGUUGAUUUGCUGCCCAAACUUCGAUGCUUAAGAGUUCUUUCUUUGAAAGGGUAUCACAUCAUUGAGUUACCAAACUUUUUUCAAAACUUAAUACAUUUGCGCUACUUGGACUUUUCUCAUACUAGAAUUACAAGCUUGCCUGAUUCAACCUGCACCCUUUAUAAUUUAGAAACUUUACUAUUAUAUGGGUGUAGAUUGCUUCAAAAUCUACCCUCAAAUUUACAAAUUCUAGUCAAUUUGCAUGUUCUCGACAUCACUGAUACGUCUUCAAUGAAAGGGAUGCCGUUUGGAAUUGGUAACUUAACCAAUCUUCAAAGAUUAUCUGAUUUUGUUUUAGGCAAAGGUGAUGGAUAUCAUAUACAAGAGAUGAAGAAUUUGUUAAAUCUCAAAGGUAAGCUUUGUAUCUCAGGGUUAGAGAACAUUGUUAAUGCUCAAGAUGCAUGGGAGGCUAAGUUAAUAUAUAAGUCAGGCCUUGGCGCAUUAGAACUAAAGUGGAGCAGAGAAUUUGAUAAUAAUAGAAAUAAAGAAGUUGAAGAAGAGGUGUUGAAUUUGCUUGAACCUCAUAAAAAGCUUGAAGAGCUCUUCAUCCAGGAUUAUGGUGGUACAAAAUUUCCGAUUUGGAUGAAUUUUUCAUUACAAAAUUUGUCGUCUUUGGUUCUCAAGGGUUGUAAAAAUUGUGUAUCACUGCCAUCACUUGGAAAAUUACCGUUACUGAAGAAGCUUUCUAUUGUUGGAAUGGAUGAGUUAAAUAAGGUUGGCAUUGAGUUCUAUGGGGAGAAUCAAUCAAACGCAUUUGCUUCGUUACAGAGUUUGAGCUUUGAGCAUAUGCCAAGAUGGAAGGAAUGGGACUUGGUUGAUGAGCAAGGUGUGAAAUUCCCUAGCCUCGUCGAGCUUUGCAUCAGUGACUGCCCUCAAUUGUUGGGAACGUUGCCUAACCGUCUUCAUUCCUUAAAGAAGCUCGCAAUAAGGUUCUGUAGACAAUUGGUAGUUUCACUUUCAAACCUUCCAAAGCUGUCUAAAUUGCAAAUAUGUGAGUGUGCGGAGUUGGUGCUGAGAGAUGAUGCAGACUUUCUCUCAAUAAAAGAAGUCCGUCUUUCAAACAUUGGAAAGUUUUCUACUCCAACGGAAAGGCUGGUAUCAACAUCAACAACAUUGAAGCAUUGUGAUCUUCCUGAUUGUGAGGGAUUGACAUAUUUAUCGCUAAAGAUGUUGGGACUGUUGGGAUCUGUCCGUAAAUUGGAAAUUUUUGAAUGUCCACAACUUGUGUUGUUAGAGCCAGAUGAGGUAGAGGAGGCAGAAGAGGAGCUGUUUCAAGUUGGGAAUCUUUGCAAUAUUGAAUCUUUGAGAAUAUGGGAAGCUGGUGUCCAGAUGGACUCUUUGAGAAUAAGAAAGCAUUUUCUCCCAUUUCUUACAGAGAUGGAAAUUGAAGAUUGCCCAAACAUAGUUUGUUUUGCAAAGAACAACUUACCCCCGCUUUUGAAAAAGUUGGAGAUUGCAAAUUGCAAGAAUUUGCGAUGUUUGGUGGAUGAAGGAGAAAAUAUAAGCAUCACUAACAUAUCUCUUCUUGAGCAUUUGAAUAUUAUUCGCUGUCCAUCUCUAAUAUCAUUAUCAUUACCUGUUAAGCUUCGACGUCUUUAUCUUCGGGGUUGCUUAAAGCUAGCUUCCUUAUCAGAAAGUGGCAAGUUACCCAUAGGGCUUAAAGGGCUUUACCUUUCUUUCUGCCCAGAGCUCGAAUCCAUUGCAGAAGUAAUUGACGAAAAUGCUUGUCUUGAAUCUAUUAGCUUCUGCAAUUGUGGUAUUAAAUCUUUACCGCAAGGAUUAGACAAGCUCAACCAUCUUCGGAGUAUUGAAAUAAAUAGAUGUUCAAAUCUAGUCUCGUUGGAAGGGUUUUUGCCCACCACCAAUUUGACUAACCUUUGGAUCUCUGAAUGUGAAAAUUUGCGAGCCCUGCCCAAUUGCAUGCCCAACCUCACGUCUCUUCGAGAAUUGACGGUUUGGAAUAAGUCAGGUGAUCAGAUAUCCAUUCCAGAAGAGGGUAUCUCUGCCAACCUCACAUCACUUAAAAUCUCAGUACCAAGAAAUUAUGAGUCUCUAAUUAAGUGGGGAUUGCAUAGACUCACCUCUCUUAAAACACUUGAUAUUUCUGGGAGAGGAUGUCCGAAUAUGGUGGCGUUCCCACCAGAGGAGAUAGGAAUGAUGCUGCCUCCCGCUCUCAUGAAAUUGAGCAUUAAAAAUUUCAAAAAUUUGAAAUGCCUAUCCUCCAAAGGCUUUCGAAACCUAACCUCUCUUCAUCAUUUGUCCAUCUCCUCUUGCCCUAAGCUCACAUUUCUUCCUGAAAAAGACAUGCUUCUCUCACUUUUGAAGUUAUGCAUUGGAGAUUGUCCAUUGCUAGAGGAAAAGUGCAAAAGGGGCAAAGGACGAGAGUGGUCCAAGAUAGCCCACUUACCUUGCAUUAAAAUUGAUGUGUGAUAGUAAAGCGAAAGUCACAGGUAUGAAACCAUUUGAAACCUACGAUAAUUUAGAAGCUUCUUAUUUUUAACAACAAAAUGAAACUAAUUAUACCUUUUUUUGUCAAUGAUUAUUUGCAGGCAGUUUAAAAGCUUUAGAAGGAAACUUGGUGGGAAACUAGGCUUCCCACCUUUUCAUCUAAAUGGCAGAAUCAGUGUGUAAUUAAUUGUUGGUUAGUAGACUCAAGCACAUACAACUCCAACAGUCUACAGGACCCAACUGCUUUUUCUUCAACUUCAUCAUUGAUUUCGUUUUUUUUUUUCAGACAUAUGAAAAUGCUGCAGAGGCUGACGAAUGGAGCGGUUAGUUAAUUCUCUGCAACCUUCAUCUACAUUUUUAGGGUUUGAUAACGAUUUGAUAUUCUAAUAAAAUACUAUUGAGUUUUCUUCAUUUCUAUUAUGAUGAAUUUGCUGUAUUUUUUACAAUUUCAAACUAUGCCAAUUAUACUUUACUUGCCUAUACCUAGAGUACAUCCUUCACUUUAUUCUUUUAAUUUCACAUCAUUCUCAUUUGAUCUUUGUGUAACAAUUUCUCAUACUCCAAUCUAUCUUACUUUUCUUAAUUUUUUGGAGGAACUGCUUUAUAAAGAAAAGAACUGAAAACAGAGGAAAGGAAUGUAAGAUUGGAUAUAUGUAGGUUAGAUGCUGCAUUUAAUUCGGUAACAAACUUUAAUUUUCUGCAUGUCUUAUGCUUGUGUGAAUAACAUAUUACUAAUUAUCUGGACAGAAAAGGAAAUAGGUAUUAGAUCUCACAAGGAAACUUGGAAAAAAUUCAGUGAAUAGAUAUACAACGUCCUAUUCAAAUAGUUGAUUAAAUUUUGAAUGAUAAUGAAGUGUUCAUUAAUUGUACAGGCAGAAACCUGAACAAGAAUCUGAAUAAGGGAAGAAUGAAUUCUGGCCUUCAAAGGUAAUUUGUUGACCUAAUAAUCAAUACAAUUAAACGGUGGCAUGCCAUUAGGCAACAAUGAGACAAUCCUUCCUAAGCAAACCAUUUUAUGUAUCACUUUUAAAAGUUUGAGUUGGAACUCUCUCUAACCUUCAUUCUCAACUUCCAGAUAAUCUAGGCACUUAGGGAUGCGUUUGAUGUGCACUUAAAAAGAAGGAUAGGAUUGCAAAUAGAAAUUUUAGAACUGGUGAAGUGGUCAUUGUUGCAUGCCAGUGAAAAACAAAACUUUACCUGACUUCUUAUGCACCCUUUGCAAUUUAGACACCUUGCUAUUAAAGCAAUGUCACGAGUUAGAAAAGUCAACCUGAAAAAUAGAAAUUCUAGUCAAAUUGCAUCAUCUUGACAUUAGUCAUACAAAUUCAGUGAAAGCAAUGCCCUUUGGAAUUGGUAGACUAACCAAUCUUUAAAAACUGUCUUAUUUUGUUUUGGGUGAAGGUGGUGGAUAUCAGAUAUGAGAGAUGAAGAAUUUGCGGAAUCUCAAGGGUGAGAUUUCUAUUUUAGGGUUGCAGAGCAUUGUUAAAGCUCAAGAUGCAUGAGAAGCUAAAUUGAUUGAUACUUGGGCCUCAAUGAGUUAGAAGUGGAUUGCAACUUUUGACAACAAUGCAAGAAAUAGAGAAGUUGAAGAAGUGGUGUUGAACUCGUUGAAUUAUGGCUGUCUUUGCUGCAUUGCUGCCACAGGGGAUUAGUUUCUACACAUUUGGAAACCAGCUUGGUUGGAUUUAGGGUCAGUUUACUUUUUGCUCACCAAAUGUUUGAUUAUUUCUUUGGUCAUUUGUACACUUGCCAGUUUGUGUUUCUUAGUUAUAUUUGACUUUUGGAAUCUGUCACCAUGCCUUCUAAUGACAGUUUGUGCAGCAUUAGUUGAAAUAUUUUAUGUUUAGUCUAUUUUUAGAAGCAAUGUAUCAGAUAGUGUGAUCAGUUGAAGAUAUUUUUGUUCACUCUCUUGAUUAUAUAAAUAUGUAUUCUCCUAAUGAAAAGUGAUGUAUGAAGAGUUGAAGUUCUGGCCUUUUUUGAGUUUUGUUUUUCCUCUUUGUUUUUCCAGCAAACUUUGGUCUCUUCAUCGAGAGUUUAGUAUGCAGAUCUUUAAGUUUUUUUUAUCCAGCAGAAACCAAGGAUAACAUUUCUUUUAUCUGUAUCUGCCCAUACUCAAUACCAAGGAUAACACUUGUUUUUCUCUGUCUGUCUGUCCGCACAAAACCAAGAAUAACACCUUAUUUCCUUGGUACAAACUCUUUCAAAUUUACAACAGCAGAAACAAAAGGUUUUUGCUUCUGCCUUCAGCUGCUACUCCUUGGGUAGCCUUGGACAAGUAAUGUGAGUAGCCACUAAAGCCAAGAGAACUGUUAGAAAAGUGAUCUUUAUUUGGUUGAUGAAAAGCUGAGUUGGUUGUUGAGGAGGAGAAAACCAGAUGGCGGGUUGCAACGGUAACUUGAAGUUCUGAAGUAGCUGUUGGCGUCAAAACGCAGUAAGCAGGAGUUGUUUUUUACUUUACUGAAUUUUUUGUUAAUGAAACGUUGCAGGAGUGUGUCGUUUUACUUAGUCUUCUGUUAUGCCGUUACUCAUACGAUGUCGUUUAGUAUUUCUUGUAAGGCUUUAAGCCAAGUUUGGUUCAGUUUGUUUUUCUGUUGCUUGGCACUGGUUUUCAUGGUGAAUGCUGAGCCAAGUUUUAGGCUCAAUUCAUUUGUUUGAAAAUCGUUGCUACAUUUUAGGAUCCAGAAAGUUUGAAUUUUAAAAUUCCUCAUAUAAAUACUGAAAAAUGUAUUGAGCGGGUGGUUAAAUUCCAGAAUAUUUUUCUACUCUGUUCGGAAAAGCUUAUUCUUCUCUUUUCUCUGCUGUUUCUUCCUUAAUUCUCUGGAAUUCCUAAACACUUAGUAAUUCUAGCAAGAACUUUCUUGGUCGUCAUAAAGAGCUAAAAGAAGCUCACCAUAAAAAAUUAUGGGACUACCAAAUUUCCAGCUUGGAUAGUAAAUUCUUCAUUACAAAAUUUAUUGUCCUUGAAUCUCAUGAAUUGUAAAAUUGCAGAUCAUACCGGCAAUUAGAAAAUGAUCACUGUUGGAAUCUCUUUGCAUUGAAGGAAUGGUUAGGGUGAAUAACAUUUGUGAAGCAAUUGGGAUCGCUUGGGAGCCUAAUGUCUGUCCCUUGGCUGAGAAUUUUGCAUUGUUCACAACUUGUACUUGUAUCAUUAGAGCCAGAGGAAGCAGAAGAGGAGUAUUUGCAACUCGACAGGCUUUGCAAGUUUGAAUGCCUAACAAUUACGAAAUGUGAAUGACUUCAAAGGCUACCAAAGGUCUCGCAUUUGGUCAUGUUCCUUGCAGAUAUACAGAUUGCCAGUGCCCAAGAAUGGUUUCUGUUUUAACGAAUGACCUACCUCCGACUUGAAGAAGAUUGACGAUUGAAGAUUGCAAGAAUUUACCAUGUUUGGUGGAUGAAGAAGAAGAUACUAGCAGAACUUCACCUCUCUCAAGGCAUUGACGUUGGUUGGCUGUUCAGCUGACAUAUCCUUUCUAGAAUAGGUUUUCCCUACCAACUUAGCAUCACUUGACAUCACAGCACCUGCAUAGACUCAGCUUUCUAAAAAACUGUCUAUUAAUGGUGAAGAAUGUCUAGAAGUGGUUUUGUUUCCACAAUAGGAGAUAGGAAUGAUACUGCCUCCCCCUCUCAGCGAUAUCACCAUAAUUUUGAAAACCUGAAAUAUCUAUUCUCCAAGGGCUUUCAAAGCCUCCCCAUCUGGUAGUCUUCAGAGAUCAGUGAUUUCUCUAAGCUCACAUCUCUUCCAUUAAGAGACAUGCUUCUCUUGCUUGGUCAUCUUCAGAUUGAUGAUUGUCCUUUGCUAGAAGAACGAUGCAAAAGGGAUAAAGGACAUAUCUUAUGUUCAAAUCAAUAAUGAACAAAAUUAUCCCAAAGAAGUUGAAAUCUCGAAAUUGAAAGCAAAAGGUAUUAAACCAUUUCAAAGAUAGGCCAGAUAAUUGAAUUCUGAUUAUCGUUCAUUUAAUUUUUGUUAGAUAUAUAACAUAAUAGUCAUUUUGAUAUGUUAUUGUUGAUAAUUAAUUUACAGCCACAUUUCAGGAUUGAAAGCUACAAAGUGUAGUUGGUAUAUAUAGCUCCAUUCAAAGAUCAGGUACAAGCUUCUCAUUUUUUUCCUAUUUCACUUGCAAUUAAACAUAGCAUGCUCAUCAAUCUGCAACAUUUAACCAUUAAAACACUUAUGCUUCUCUAACUUCAGAUAUCUCAAAAAACCUCUUGCCGUGAAUUUGCUGAUUCGUCAUUUAGACUUAUGAAACUGUUAAAAAGAUCAAGGAUGAAGGUGAGUUGAUUUUCCGCUGCUUUUAUAUGUCAUGUACAUUCCCAUUAAAAGAAAUGUCAUGUACAUUAAAGAAUGGAAAAGUGAUUGUUAGAGUACAUAAGCAGUUUCAUGGACAAAAUUGGGUUUUAAUUUGGUAAAUUACAUAUAUACUUGCCUUGUGAAAUUGUUAGUUGUUUAUACAGAAGCAUAUUUGUUUUGAUUUCAAGAGAUUUCCAUUUUGUUAAAGAAAAUCCAAGUCUCUCUUUCCUUUUCUAUGUUAUCAACUUUCUUUAUACCAUGCCAAUUAUGCUUCCCUUGAGUAUGUUGAACAGUGAACUAAUUUCUUUUCUUUUAGUAUUAUAAUGUUCUUGUAUUUAGUUUUUUGCUUUCUGAGUUCGUAGAGACAAUGUAGAGGAAGCAAAUAAAUUUCAUCCAUAAAAUUCUAAUGUUGUAUUGGAUUUUCCAUCUUAGAGGAGUGUGUCCCCACCAACUGAAUGUUACUUUGGAUCUCUGCUGCUAAAAUCUGUAUACCAUUAUUACAUCGGGGAGUGCGUAUACAAAUCUGUCAUGGACAACUUCCCAUUGGUGGUACUGAUGCAGCCGACCAACUUUCAAACUUUCCUUGUCAUCGGGAAGUUCCCAAUUUGGAAUAGUAGCACUACAAGAGCUUUCAGAACCUCUCCUUGCUCAAAGGUUUUUAUGCUUAAUUGCCUUGAUCUAUAAAAAAAAAGGGAUAAAAAAUGAAGUGGGUAAAGAUAUCUCCUGUGCCUCAUGUAUUAAUAACAGAUUACUUAUUAGUUAGAACAGGAACAGUGAAAACUAGUUGUUUUUCAUAGAAAAGGAGCGAAAAAGGCAGAACAAAUAUUGCUCGUAAAUUCAAUCCUUGUUAUGUCAAUGAGAAAAUCUUUUCUCCUUUUCCUCUUUGAACAAUUAAUUAAAACUUGUAUGAUCACCAAGUGUUGAUUUUCUUGUACAUACAGAAGUCUGAACAUGAUUAGGAAACACUGAGGAUGAAUUCAGCAUCCAGUUGUAAUCUAUUGGCCAUAAAAUCAAUGCAAUGCAGAGGUGAGCUUUUAUAUAUUGGACUACAUUAAGAUAAUAUGCCUCACCAAUGGAAACAAUCCCUCCUUCUAAAUGAUCUAUGCCUGUAUAAUUCUAUUUUUGUAUUCAAUUUCCAUUAGCAGUCACAUAUUAAUGUUUCCACACCCGCUGAAUAUUACUUAUUAGCCACAGAAGGGAAAAAGGGUGAAAAUUAUAGAAACUACCAUGCUUGUAGAUAUAUGGUAUGUCAAUUGGAAAAUCCUCCCUUUCUUUUUGCACUGUGAUCAUAGUUAAUUAAAGUUUAUAUAUUAACCAAGUAUUAGUCUAGUUGUACAUGCAGAAAUCUGAGCAUUAGUAGAAAGAACCAAUGAUGAAAUUUAACCUCCAGUUGUAAUCUAUUGACUAUAUAAUCAAUUCAAAGCAAAGGUGAGCUUUUAUUAGGCUACCUUAAGAUAAUAUGCCUCACCAAUGGAACAUCCCUUAUGCUAAAUAAUCUUAUGCAUAUCAAUUCCAAAGUUUCAGGUUGGAGCUAUUAGUUACUCAUCUUCAUUCUCAAAACUGUGACCCUCAUUCACAAUAGGUUUAAGCAGAUGAUCCCUGAUUGAAACUAAAUCGCAUUUCUCAAGUAUUGUGUAGAAUUAUUUUUUCACACCAGAACUGUUUUACAACUUGGCACACAGAGAUGCAAAGAGCUCAUGUAACAGCUUCCAUGGCUCUUCAUGCCCCACUUUUUCUGCUUCUAAUAUUAAACAUUUACCAUACCCUGCAUGUUGGUUCUUCAGCCUUCAGCACUCAUCUCUCUUUGUCAAUCCCAGUGAAUCUUCAAUGCCUCCACAUGAAGCAAAAUGUGUCACUAGUGGCAGCACCCGGUAACAUACAUCGUUGCAACAUGUCACCACCAAAAGAGCGAUUGAUGUCAUUGACAGUCAAGGUUUUCUUUUCUAAUACUAUGAAUCAGUUGGGUAAGAGUAAGUUUUUAGAAAAUUUGCUUCAUUUAUCAUUUCUCUUUGCAAAAAAACUUGUUAAAAUUCAUCAGUAGUAUCAUGACUAAUAGAUUCACACCGAUCCUGUAAUAAAUUUCAUAGAUAGACUUUGUAAUGUGCCAUACACUAGUUGAGCUUUCAGUUUUCUUUUUUCUUUUUCAUUAUUAUGCUCUUUAAAGUUUGUAUACUAUUGCAUUGGACCUUCAGAAAGGAUUAAUUUUCUUGUGCUUUUGAAUUGAGAUUAUGAGAUGUAUAAUAGAUUCAAGCUAAAUGUUAAUCUCUUUUUCCUACUCUUCCUCCUUUCUCCGUGUCCUCUUCUUUGGCAAAUAAAGAGAUCCACCAGAGUUCAAUACAAGAAAGGAACUGAAAAUUUUUAUGGCUUUCCUCUGAUGAUGUUAAGCCAUAAGCUUCCACCCAUUGCAGCAUGAGCAGGCCUUAAAUCUUCUUUUCUUGCUGAUAGCAAUCUAACUUCUCUGUUACUUGACUGUGGCCAUGCUUAAAAUUUCUGCAGAUGAAAACACAUUUUUUCCUUUUGUUGGAUAUGUGCAGUGCAUGCCUUCAUUUUUUCAGAAGGUGUUUGUCUUUGUUAUCAAUUGGGCCAAAAAGGAGUGUUACAAUGGUAGACGAUAGUUUUUACACAAGAGUUCUACCAAUGUUUUUCUCUGUUGGUGCCUCAUCCUUAGUUCCUUGUAAGUCUCACGAAUGGCUGGGAAUAGGUAUGUUGUUUUAUUGUUUUUUGACUAAAAUUGCAACUCGAUGUCAUAGCCUUGCCCCUGAGAUAGAAUGUUACACAAGGGUUCCACAUUCUGAAGCCAUCCUUUUGUGAAACUUCAUGCGCAGCAUCAACGGUGCAUAAAAGAUAUUAAAAAAUAUAAAUAGGGUCACAAACUCCGACAUUUUGAAGCCCUUUUUCUUCUAGUGCAUGCCAGAACCAAAGAAGCUGAAGAUCAAGUUUCCUACUAGUUUAGUGUCAAUUUUUUAUGUUAAUAGUUAUUCUGUUUUUUCUUCUUGGUAUUUUGCAUACAUUCAUUAUUAUUGACAAUUUAUUAUUGGGAAUUACUCAUGUGUGUUCUGGCUGUUUUCAUAAUAGCUCCAGCUUCCAAAAUGUGAAAUUGAAAAGCAAACUGCUUCAAAUUGUUCGUAUUUGCAGUUUUGUAAAACUUCUUUUUUCUUUUAAUUCCUUUUGUGCUUCAGCAUUUAUAGGUUCUUUUGGCUGUUUUGAAUGGGACUGAGCUGAUGGAGGCUGUCAUAAUGAUAUACCUAUUGAGGAGAUCAAAGCCAAUGUGGCAGGAUUCUGUCAAGAAGAGGCUUUGCUUCGAUGCCUGUGACAGUGCCAAGAUUGUUGCUGAUGCUGUUAUCUCUGAUUUCAAUGAAGUCCUGGAGGCUGUAAGUGCCUCUCUCUAUUUUCAUGUUACUUGUGUUUCUAAUCCCAUUUUUUGUUGUUUGAGCUUGGGAUUUACUUCUUUUAUAGUUUUCCUUUAAUUAUGUUGGUAAAACAGUUCCUUUUUUAUGUUUCAUAGCUCUUUUCUUUCUUAUUUUGCUUGAAUUUGAAAUUUAGACCGAUGGAUUUUUUCAACCUGAUAUUUUUUUGUGAAAGAAAUGUCAAUAUUAUAUAAAGAAAAUAGGAUUUGAAAGUUUGCAUCAUGAACAUGGAUAACGGAUGUGGGCAUGAUAACUUGUCAAGUCACCAUUAUAAAAUUCUUGAAAACAUCGUGAUUUGUGACCAGGCUGCCAUUGUUGGGAUUUUUGUUAUUGUGGAUUAUGGUGAUGAUUAAAGUCAUAACUAUGGCAAUUUUUUCCAUUAGGUUGCUCGUUAUCCAUCAUUUUAUGGAGCAAUUGAUGGGUUGUGCAACAACUACUGAGGCAAGACUAAAGCAGAAUGGAUUGUUGUGACAAAUUAUUGACCUGGCACUAACGUGGAGUUUUCUGCAGCACUAAUUCAUGGGAUAUAAAACACUGAUGAAGUCUCUAGGCCACUUGUACCUACUUUCACUGCAUUAUUUUUCUUAUACAUUCUUUUGGGGAAAUGAAAAGGGGGUGAGAGGGGGGAUGCUAAUUGGUAUAUCAAUAAAGUUUAUCACUGUUUG